rnacentral:rRNA from 1 species
AACGAACGCUGGCGGCAGGCUUAACACAUGCAAGUCGAGCGCCCCGCAAGGGAAGCGGCAGCCGGGUGAGUAACGCGUGGGAACUUACCUUUUGGUUCGUAACAACUCCGGGAAACUGGAGCUAAUACCGGAUAAGCCCUCACGUGGAAAGAUUUAUCGACGACAGCUCGGCCCGCGUCUGAUUAGCUAGUUGGUGAGGUAACGUCUCACCAAGGCGACGAUCAGUAGCUGGUCUGAGAGGAUGAGCAGCCACACUGGGACUGAGACACGGCCCAGAAUCCUACGGGAGGGAGCAGUGGGGAAUAGAGGACAAUGGGGGCAAGCCUGAUCGAGCCAUGACGGGUGAGUGAUGAAGGCAUUAGGGUAGUAAAGCGCUUUUGUCCGGGAAGAUAAUGACGGUACCGGAAGAAUAAGCCCCGGCUAACUUCGUG